rnacentral:lncRNA from 1 species
CCAAAAAUCAUACCCUAACCCUUGAGGACCCUUAGAAAAUAUAAAUACCUAGAUGAAGAACAAGAGAAAGGGGUUAGACGGCUAAAGAGGCAAGAAAAAGAGAGGCACCAAUUGAGAGAAGAUCGACCCGAUUUUGGAGAAGAAGAAGGGAGAAGCUGAGAAAUCAAGCCACAAGAUUGAGAAAUAGAGCAGGAACUUGAGUUUUUUCUUAUCUCUCUUCUUCGUGCGAUUUAACUUGUAUUUUAUCAUGUUCUUCUUAUCAAUCAUGAACUA